rfam:Pelecanus crispus contig82586, whole genome shotgun sequence.
GCAGGGUUAGCUCAGUUGGUUAGAGUGUGGUACUAAUAACACCAAGGUCACAGGUUGAAUCCCUGCUCACUGCA